GACGAACGCUGGCGGCGUGCUUAACACAUGCAAGUCGAACGGAAAGGCCCUGCUUUUGUGGGGUGCUCGAGUGGCGAACGGGUGAGUAACACGUGAGUAACCUGCCCUUGACUUUGGGAUAACUUCAGGAAACUGGGGCUAAUAUCGGAUAGGAGCUCCUGCUGCAUGGGGGGGGUUGGAAAGUUUCGGCGGUUGGGGCUGGACUCGCGGCUUAUCAGCUUGUUGGUGAGGUAGUGGCUUACCAAGGCUUUGACGGGUAGCCGGCCUGAGAGGGUGACCGGCCACAUUGGGACUGAGAUACGGACCAGACUCCUACGGGAGGCAGCAGUGGAGAAUAUUGCACAAUGGGCGGAAGCCUGAUGCAGCGACGCCGCGUGCGGGAUGACGGCCUUCGGGUUGUAAACCGCUGUCGCCUGUGACGAAGCGUGAGUGACGGUAAUGGGUAAAGAAGCACCGGCUAACUACGUG
rnacentral:rRNA from 1 species